rnacentral:lncRNA from 1 species
UUUUCAUCUUUCUACUAUUAUUUCAUCUUGUAAUAAUCUUAGUGGAUCUGGUUGUGACACAAUUGGUGUGUUGGAAUUUGACCCUUGUGGUAAUUUCCUAGCUUCUGGUGGUAUUGCUAGGAAAAUUCGGAUUUACACCGUAAAGUCUGUCCAAGGCGAGAGGCGUAUCGGCGAUGCGCCUCUCGCUUUAGAUCACAGUAAUGCAUGUGAUUUUUUUAUUUGUACUCCGGCCAAACUCGGGAGUAUAAAGUGGAAACCCGGUUUAGGGAGUCGGGUUUUAGGGUCGGGUGAUUACGAUGGAGUGGUUAUGGAGUAUGACCU